GACGAACGCUGGCGGCGUGCCUAAUACAUGCAAGUCGAGCGGACUUUCAAGAAGCUUGCUUUUUGAAAGUUAGCGGCGGACGGGUGAGUAACACGUGGGCAACCUGCCUGUAAGACGGGGAUAACUCCGGGAAACCGGGGCUAAUACCGGAUAAUAUCUUUAUUCGCAUGAAGGAAGGUUGAAAGGCGGCGCAAGCUGCCGCUUGCAGAGGGGCCCGGGGUGCAUUAGCUAGUUGGUGAGGUAACGGCUCACCAAGGCGACGAUGCGUAGCCGACCUGAGAGGGUGAUCGGCCACACUGGGACUGAGACACGGCCCAGACUCCUACGGGAGGCGGCAGUAGGGAAUCUUCCGCAAUGGACGAAAGUCUGACGGAGCAACGCCGCGUGAGCGAAGAAGGUCUUCGGAUCGUAAAGCUCUGUUGUCAGGGAAGAACAAGUACCGUUCGAAUAGGGCGGUACCUUGACGGUACCUGACCAGAAAGCCACGGCUAACUACGUGCCAGCCGCCGCGGUAA
rnacentral:rRNA from 1 species